GACGAACCGUGCGAACGUUGUUCGGAUUUACUGGGCGUAAAGGGCGCGUAGGCGGCAAUUCAAGUCAGCUGUGAAAUCUCCGGGCUUAACUCAGAACGGCCAAGUGAUACUGCUGUGCUAGAGUGCAGAAGGGGCAAUCGGAAUUCUUGGUGUAGCGGUGAAAUGCGUAGAUAUCAAGAGGAACACCUGAGGUGAAGACGGGUUGCUGGGCUGACACUGACGCUGAGGCGCGAAAGCCAGGGGAGCAAACGGG
rnacentral:rRNA from 1 species